CCUACGGGUGGCAGCAGUGAGGAAUAUUGGUCAAUGGCCGUAAGGCUGAACCAGCCAAGUCGCGUGAGGGAGGACGGCCCUACGGGUUGUAAACCUCUUUUGCCGGGGAGCAACGGGCGUCACGUGUGGCGCCACUGAGAGUACCCGGAGAAAAAGCAUCGGCUAACUCCGUGCCAGCAGCCGCGGUAAUACGGAGGAUGCGAGCGUUAUCCGGAUUUAUUGGGUUUAAAGGGUGCGUAGGCGGAUCGUUAAGUCAGUGGUCAAAUUGAGGGGCUCAACCCCUUCCCGCCAUUGCAACUGGCGUUCUUGAGUGGAAGAGAAGUAUGCGGAAUGCGUGGUGGAGCGGUGAAAUGCAUAGAUAUCACGCAGAACCCCGAUUGCGAAGGCAGCAUGCCGGCUUCCGACUGACGCUGAAGCACGAAAGCGUGGGGAUCGAACAGGAUUAGAUACCCCUGUAGUC
rnacentral:rRNA from 1 species